GAUGAACGCUAGCUACAGGCUUAACACAUGCAAGUCGAGGGGAAACGAUAUUGGAAGCUUGCUUCCGAUAGGCGUCGACCGGCGCACGGGUGAGUAACGCGUAUCCAACCUGCCCAUCACUUGGGAAUAACCUUGCGAAAGUAAGACUAAUGCCCAAUGACAUUUAUAGAAGGCAUCUGAAAUGAAUUAAAGAUUUAUCGGUGAUGGAUGGGGAUGCGUCUGAUUAGCUUGUUGGCGGGGUAACGGCCCACCAAGGCGACGAUCAGUAGGGGUUCUGAGAGGAAGGUCCCCCACAUUGGAACUGAGACACGGUCCAAACUCCUACGGGAGGCAGCAGUGAGGAAUAUUGGUCAAUGGGCGAGAGCCUGAACCAGCCAAGUAGCGUGCAGGAAGACGGCCCUAUGGGUUGUAAACUGCUUUUAUAGGGGAAUAAAGUGAGCCACGUGUGGUUUUUUGCAUGUACCCUAUGAAUAAGGACCGGCUAAUUCCGUGCCAGCAGCCGACGG
rnacentral:rRNA from 1 species